rnacentral:rRNA from 1 species
UACAGAGGUCUCAAGCGUUGUUCGGAUUCAUUGGGCGUAAAGGGUGCGUAGGCGGCGCGGUAAGUCGGGUGUGAAAUCUCGGAGCUUAACUCCGAAACUGCAUUCGAUACUGCCGAGCUUGGGGACUGGAGAGGAGACUGGAAUUUACGGUGUAGCGGUGAAAUGCGUAGAUAUCGUAAGGAAGGCCAGUGGCGAAGGCGGGUCUCUGGACAGUUCCUGACGCUGAGGCACGAAGGCCAGGGGAGCAAACGGG